rnacentral:rRNA from 1 species
UGGUGGAGUGAUUCGUCUGGUUGAUUCCGUUAACGAGCGAGACCAACAUUGCUUUCUAGGCGGAGUUUGUGGCUAAUGGUGAGGACGAUGGGCGGGGGCACUCCGGUGUCGUCACUCCUCGUUGAAUCCGUGUCAGCAAGCUCAACCUUCAUAGCGAGACAACCGGCAAAAAGCCGGAGGAGGUUGUUGGCGAUAACA